rnacentral:miRNA from 1 species
UAGGACCAUAUUCACUAUUUG